rnacentral:lncRNA from 1 species
GAAAGUUUAUCUCGGCGUUCCUGUCUGGCUGUGAAGGAUGGGGGGCCCUGGGUCUAACAGUUUAUGCAGCUACAGCAGCGCAGAUGGAUCAGAUCCACAGCUGAGUAUCUAAUUCUGCAAUUACAUAACGUGAAAUCUCCCACCUGCAUUGUGAUAAACAAGGCGUCAGACUUAUCUGAGAUCAGAUAUAAUUAUCAGGAAAAACCCUCAGUUUGGAGUGUGGCUCUUAGUGUCAGCUGGCUGCACAAUGAACUACAGCAACCCCUUAGUGAGCUGACACAUCUGGAGGAAAGAUCAGGUUUCCUCAUUACGUAG